rnacentral:rRNA from 1 species
GACGAACGCUGGCGGCGUGCUUAACACAUGCAAGUCGAACGGAAAGGCCCUGCUUUUGUGGGGUGCUCGAGUGGCGAACGGGUGAGUAACACGUGAGUAACCUGCCCUUGACUUUGGGAUAACUUCAGGAAACUGGGGCUAAUACCGGAUAGGAGCUCCUGCUGCAUGGAGGGGGUUGGAAAGUUUCGGCGGUUGGGGAUGGACCCGCGGCUUAUCAGCUUGUUGGUGGGGUAGUGCCUUACCAAGGCUUUGACGGGUAGCCGGCCUGGGAGGGUGACCGGCCACAUUGGGACUGAGAUACGGCCCAGACUCCUACGGGAGGCAGCAGUGGGGAAUAUUGCACAAUGGACGGGAGCCUAAUGCAGCAACGCCACGUGCGGGAUAACGGCCUUCGAGUUGUAAACCGCUUUCGCCUGUGACGAAGCGUGAGUGACGGUAAUGGGUAAAGAGGCACCGGCUAACUACGUG